rnacentral:rRNA from 1 species
ACUACGUGCCAGCAGCCGCGGUAAUACGUAGGUCCCGAGCGUUGUCCGGAUUUAUUGGGCGUAAAGCGAGCGCAGGCGGUUAGAUAAGUCUGAAGUUAAAGGCUGUGGCUUAACCAUAGUACGCUUUGGAAACUGUUUAACUUGAGUGCAGAAGGGGAGAGUGGAAUUCCAUGUGUAGCGGUGAAAUGCGUAGAUAUAUGGAGGAACACCGGUGGCGAAAGCGGCUCUCUGGUCUGUAACUGACGCUGAGGAGCGAAAGCGGUGGGGAGCGAACAGGCUUAGAUACCCUGGUAGUCCACGCUAGUAAACGGUGGGUACUAGGUGGUGGGGUCCAUUCCGACGGGUUCCGUGCCGUAGCUAACGUCUUUAACGUACCCCGCCGUGGGGAGUACGGCCGCAAGGCUAAAACUCAAAGGAAUUGACGGG